rnacentral:lncRNA from 1 species
AACAGUAUUACCUUGAAGGUAUUCAAUAAAAAUUCGGAGCGAGCAAAUGCUCACUAUUAUGAAGAUUAUGAAGAGAGUGAGAAAGAUGGCAUACUCCUUAAAGAUGGCAUACUCCUUAAAGAUGCAUUUGAUCCGGGUGGUAAAAAAUUUGAUUCUGGUUCAGGUUAUGAUCAAGAUGGUAACAAAACUUCUUCAUUAGUAAUGUUUCAUGUCCUAAGUAAUCGAGAAUUAUUCUUAG